GCAGAUUGAUGGAUGACCUUAUGCAGAUCACAAGAAAACUUAUUAGAGAACUUAAGUGCGACGGAUACACAAAGGAUAAGCCAAAAACCAGAAAAGAAAAACUAACUUCAACUUUAAAGCUGUCUGCUAAACCUAAAAACACAUUUUGAUCUACCCUUAUCUGUACAAUAAUCUAAUCCUAGUGGCACCAAUCAUAGGAAAAAGAAAAACAAAAACUUUAUAUGUAAGAACAAAAAGGAGGAAAAAAAAUACUUGACAUGAGACCAUGUCAGAAAUGGUUCCACUUAGCUAAGGCAUGCCCCAACUGCUAAAGCUUUAACUUGCAGCAACCCUUGUAGUGAUCAACAGAACACAGGCUUGUUUUGGGUAAAACUGGGCAUGCCAUUGUAUCCCCUUGCAAUGUUUCAGGUCAAGAAGAGCAAAGGCAAUGGAAAAAUAAAAUGCUCUUAUAGGUUGUAUUUUCAAGCCUUCUGAAAUGUGCGCGAAGAAACCCCAUGAAGGAGCCUGACAAACCCCAGAAAACUUAGCUUGCCAUCUUCAUGUCUUAUCCAGUCUUGGAGAACCACAUGAACUGGUACUGAUGGGCUAAGACCAAGCUCCUGUAAAUACAAAUGGAAAGGAAAUUUAUUAUUUGGAACUUGGAUAGAAACUGAAGAUGACAGAAUGCAUAUUUUUUUUUAUUCGUUCAAUCAUUGAUAUACACUUGCAAGUUGUAAGAGUAUGCAUGAUUGGAAACUUUAAGCCAAAGUCCUUGCUUGAUCAUCCUUAUUUACAAGGACAACUUGCAACUCAAAGAUCUGAAUCAAAGUGUUCCUGAAAGACUAAUGUUAACUUGGACAAUUUAGUCCAUGUUGAAGAUCAGCUGCCAGUCAAAUCUGGGGCUAUUUAGAUUUAAUAAUUAUUUCAAUCCUGAGCCCAUUCUCAUUCUUCUGUGAUGCUUUACCCCAAUACUUGUAGCUCUACAAUGCACUACUUCCGGUUAAUAAUUUGCCCAUGUAUAUGGAAAUUUGAGGCACACAGUGAUAUAAAAGAACACAUGCUACAGACACAACUACACCCAUGAAAAGAGAAAGGGGGCAAGGGGGGGUGUGGGGUGGGGUGUUGGGG
rnacentral:misc_RNA from 1 species